rnacentral:rRNA from 1 species
GAUGAACGCUGGCGGCGUGCUUAACACAUGCAAGUCGAACGGAAAGGCUCCUGCUUGCAGGGGUACUCGAGUGGCGAACGGGUGAGUAACACGUGGGUGAUCUGCCCUGCACUUCGGGAUAAGCCUGGGAAACUGGGGCUAAUACCGGAUAGGACCACAUUUUGGAUGGUGUGGUGGAAAGUUUUUCGGUGUGGGAUGCGCUCGCGGCCUAUCAGCUUGUUGGUGGGGUAAUGGCCUACCAAGGCGUCGACGGGUAGCCGGCCUGAGAGGGUGUACGGCCACAUUGGGACUGAGAUACGGCCCAGACUCCUACGGGAGGCAGCAGUGGGGAAUAUUGCACAAUGGGCGCAAGCCUGAUGCAGCGACGCCGCGUGGGGGAUGACGGCCUUCGGGUUGUAAACUCCUUUCGCUAGGGACGAAGCGCAAGUGACGGUACCUGGAGAAGAAGCACCGGCUAACUACGUG